UAACUAGAUACUAACGAUUGAUAAGCAGUACCACAGCAAUGUUAGUGGCGCUGUUGCUGGUCACGUCAUUAUGAAUAACUAACGUUAACGAACUGAAAAUCUAAUUUAAAAUUUUUUUCAAGGCCGAUCGGUUAUCGGUUUUUUUAUUGUAAUAUAUUUUUUAAUUACAUAUCUAUAUAACAUAUUUUUCGGAUUUAUACAUUAAUAGAAGAGUAUCGUCAACCAAUCAGUUAGUAGGUACCAAUGUCAUAAAAAAUGCAUAAUAUUAGUUUUGUUCGAAGUAUAAUACAAUUAUCGGAUAUUGAACAAGUCGAACAUAUUGCAGUGGUCGGAUUUCAGUGGUUGCAGUUUCGUUGGUUGACAUUUGGCAAUUUUACCUCCAUAGACGUGUAAGGUGUUUUGGAGCUGUCAAUUUGAAAAUAUACAUUAAAUAAGAUCAAUGAAAAAAAUAAUCUGAGACAUCAGAAUGUGAAAAAUAAAGAAGAACACUUACACCAGUGCUUUCGUAUCUUUAUGUGAUACGAUGAACAGUUAAAUACAUUUUUCACAAAUUUAAUGUAAGUGUUAUUUGUAUUUAUUAGGUAAUUUUAUUUUGAAUAAUUUUGUGUUUUUGAUGUCUAUUAAGUGAGUUCAUGAAACGAUAAAUCCGUGUCAGAUAAGUGAUAAGUGAAUUUUGGUAUGUUGUAAUAAAGUCACUAUGUACAUUGAAAUGAGAUUCUAAAAAAGUAAGGUACAGUAUGAAAAUAAUCACCAUAACGUAAUUUAAUUUACAUGGUGAUAAUAAUUUAUAAUUUCACCAUUGUAUACAAAUAUAAUUAUAAAAUAAUAUACACUUACAGAAAAGGAUUAUUUAUUUUUGACGAAAAUUUCAUUAGUUCAUUUGAUCGCUUGGGAUUUUAUGUACUUAUUUAUUAGGUGCAGUAGUACAUAGAUUUACACUAUAUAUAUAAUUUUUUUAGCGUUAAAAAGCGUAUCGUUUAUGGUUCUAGAUUAUAAAAAAGUUGGUAUUAUUGUAACGCAAUAAAGAUUUUUAAUUCUGAUUUUGAAAUCGCGAAAUUGUUCAUAAAUCAUCUAAUUCAUCGUUCCGUUAGCAAACAAAAUAUGUCAACAUCGCGCCCCGGUAUAUUAAAGUCAUUAAAAAAAACGAUCCAAUUUAAGAGAGACCUUUGUAUCAGCCAAUAUAUAUUAUGAUAUACUAUUUUAUUAAAGCAUCUAAACUGCUGUUACACAAUCGUAAACCAUCGCUAUUCUUAUUAAUGGUAAAUCUCCGGUCGAGAAAUAAUUUUAAACGGGUCACGAUGGGUGCAUUUAUUUUUAACCGAAAUAAAAUCAUUUUUGCACUAUAAAUAAUACUACAUUUAAUAAUGAACAUAAUUAUUACUCAUCGAUGUAUGUUUAGUGUUUGUGAACAUGGAACGUGAUUCAAGUGUAGAGAAAUACAUUAUACAUUUUAAUUAAUAUAUCAUACUAAAAACUGUAUUAGACUUUUAUACUGUGAUAGGAGGUCUUCUCUCAUCUUAUGUUUUUGUUUUUAUUGUGAAGCAUAUGGUCAAUAAAGUCAUGUAUAUUACCAAUUUUAAAUUAUACUACAGUCUUGUUAUUGUAACGAAGAGAAACAAAUAUUUUAAAGAAAUAGAAAACAUAAUGUUAUAAAAAAGUGUACUUAUAC